CAUCGCGCCGCCACCGCCGCCCGCCGCGCUACCGGCGCUCCGCCACGCCGCCGCCGCCGCGCUGCCGUGCAGUUUGGAGGCGCCGCGCCGCCUCUUGUUCGAAGGCGAGGAGGAAGAAGGAUUUCGAGAGGAGCUGCCUCAUGACGCGUCCAUGGUGGCCUUAAUGGACUCGAAGAGCCGCGCCUGCUGCGAUGGAAUGCCGUAGUCCGAUAGUCACUCGUAAGUUUGUUGCGAUUUUGAUCCUGUUGCUUCCUCCCCUUCGUGAUCCAGUUUACAGCUCUUCUGCUCCGAGCCUCCGGGCGACAGGGAUUACAGCUAGGGCGUCAUGUCGCCGGAAGAGGGGAAGCAGCCAAGUAAGGGCAGAUCGCAGUGUUCUCCUCCUCCCCGGACGCCGGACGCCCCUAGCUCCACGGGUCCUUCGGCGGCGGCGCCCAGGCAAAGUGAUCGUCAGAGCCUGCAUCAAGAGGAAGAGUCCCUGUGAUCGUCAGAACCUGCAUUAGCAGUAGGUAGCACGAGGUUGCAUUCCAACUGGAGCAUAGAAGAUGACAAAUGCAAGUUUAGUUGGCAGCAAAGGAACUGAAGAUAACAAAGGCAUUGCCUUCCUCAACCGCUAAACUGCCUUGCUGCUGUCAGUUAGAGUAAUACGACUUCUCUCCAAUCGCAUUAUCCCGUCAGCUGGUUCUAUUGUAGGUCGGAAACACAAAGGCCUGGUUUGUCAACUUGUGUCCGCUUCAUUUGCAGAACCUCAUUGGGUCAUUGUCAACACCUAGUCCAACAAGAAAAAAGAAAUUCAUCUAUCUGUUGCUGAAACAUACAUGUGUAUAUAUGAUUGAACCCAGCAGGAUACUAGUUUGCAUCUUUUUUCCCCUUUCCUGGCAAUACAAAUUUAUGUUUGCCAACAGGACUAAUUACAUGGAUUGUACAUCAUUGUGCACGAAUGCCACACAAUCUGAUCUUUCCUGAGAAGGAACUGGAUUAAGAAUUGGUUUCGACUUU